rnacentral:lncRNA from 1 species
UUUCUCCUUUGACGUCUAAGCAAAACUCCACCAACCAUUUCAAGUUUGUAAGUUCCAAAGUUUUCAGGUCUCAAAAAACUGAAAAAGUUCAAUAACAAUAGAAAUUAUUGAACUCGGAAGUGUGUCAUGCAUUUCAAUAAAAUGUAAAAUUCAGAUUUAUUACAGCAAUGUGCAUUCAACCAAAAUUGAAACUGAUGACUUGGCAAAUUGAUUACGGAAAUAACCAACUAAAAGUAGACCAUCAUUCAUUUUCUCAGUUAGCUCCUCCAAAUCAUCAAAGAUGAUGAGAGCAAUUAAGGUGUAAUUAUGACACCAAAUACUCCGAAAGAAAGGCAAAUCAGUCAAAAACCUGCUGAGGUACCAUUAUAGUGCAUAUCAUUGUCCAGUGAGUGGGAUAGAAUAUUAAUUGUCCCUUUUAAUUAUGUUUCUUGAUCACCAUUCCAGAUUAAUAGAAUUUUCAUUAUACAAAUUGUUGAAUUAAACGGCGCAUUAAGUAGAAAGAAAAAGAAGCUAAGUACAUACCUGCAAAAAUCUAGGAAAAGCUCGGUGGGUUGCGCACUUGCUCGCUGGAAAAGCUUAGAAAAAAUCCGGAGAUAGGAAUUCACUGAGAAGCUGGUUGGGUUCGUCAGUCAGCCUCGUUGAAGUGGUUGGGUUCCGAAAGCUGGUUGGGUUGCCUAUGUGAAGCUGGUGGAAGCGGUGGAGAAACUGGAGAUGGAGCUAGUAGAAGCAGAUAUGGCAGUAACGGGGAAUUGGGAGUUUGGGACUUCCCAUGGUUUCAAGAGGGUUGCCUUUCUGGCUCCGUGCAUACUGGGAUGAAUCUGGUGUUUUCGAUUCUCAGGUAAGGGACCCGAGUGCCCCCGCUCAUUGGAGCUGCACUUGCGACAGAGUUAGGACUGAGGACAGUCAGCAGAGAAAACUUGGAGGUUGCUGAGGAGCUAGCGGAAGUGGUGGAGGUGGAGCUAGCAGAGAUGGCGGUAGCGGAAGUACGAAUUAGGAGUUUGGCAGUGGGACAGUCGGUCGGCGGAGCCAGAGGAAGAAGAUUG